GACGAACGCUGGCGGCGUGCUUAACACAUGCAAGUCGAACGGAAAGGCCCUGCUUGCAGGGUACUCGAGUGGCGAACGGGUGAGUAACACGUGGGUGAUCUGCCCUGCACUUCGGGAUAAGCCUGGGAAACUGGGUCUAAUACCGGAUAGGAGCCAUUUUUAGUGUGAUGGUUGGAAAGUUUUUUGGGUGUAGGAUGAGCUCGCGGGCUAACAGCUUGUUGGUGGGGUAAUGGCCUACCAAGGCGGCGACGGGUAGCCGGCCUGAGAGGGUGGACGGCCACAUUGGGACUGAGAUACGGCCCAGACUGCUACGGGAGGCAGCAGUGGGGAAUAUUGCACAAUGGGCGCAAGCCUGAUGCAGCGAGGCCGCGGGGGGGAUGACGGCCUUCGGGUUGUAAAAUCCUUUCGCUAGGGACGAAGCUUUUUGUGACGGUACCUAGAUAAGAAGCACCGGCUAACUACGUG
rnacentral:rRNA from 1 species